rnacentral:lncRNA from 1 species
CUAAUGUUUAUCUUGAGAUCUCUUCCUCUCUCCUGGGGACCUUGAUAUCUACAAUGGCAAGGACAAUAGGAAGGAAUGUCUACCACUGAAUCUCUCACUAUGGUCACAACAUGACACAAUCACCCAUCCUGAAUUGAGAUGUCUCAAACUUACAUGAACAUGGCUAGAACAUUUGGGAAAGCAUGUGUGUGUGUGAUAGCUUUAGUUUUAUCCCAUCAGAGAACUACUUGAUUGCAGGAACUGUAGUCUCCCAUGACAACUAAUUGUCUAACAAUCCAAACCAUCUUAGAAAGACAUUUAGAUUUUGGAAUCUUUCUUUUUUUUUUGUCUGGGAAGGAGGGCCAGGGUUGAGAGUUCGGUGCUUUCUCCUCAAAACCUUCCAGGAUAAUUGGGAUGGAUCAUGGCUUGUGCUGGUCUAAUGGAAACUGAGGAGGAAGAAACACAUACAAAAGAAAUGGAGAAAUUUUGAAUCAAGAAGCUCUUUCCUUAGAGCAGAAGCAUUCCUGAUUCACAGAUGAUUUCUCUCUAUGAUGGAAGAAAAGUGUUACCUGGCGAAUGGAGAGAAUUAUAAUUUUAAUUGGACCCUUUACCUGUGUAUAUGUUCAUCAAACGAUUUGGAGAAGACAGCAACUAGAAGGAGUCUGAAUUUGGAAGAUUAUUAUAGAAGAAAGCACUAAAUGUGCAGAAGACAUCCCGGGCUGUUUCUCAUGUCCUCUGGGACAGGAGGGCAUGUGAGGAUAUAUCCAGGCUGCAAACAGCACCAAAGAUGACAGCGAUGUGGAUGCUCCUAUUUCAUACCUAAUGACCAUAAUUUACCUCAAAAGAUGCCUGGUCCCUAUUUCUACUGAAGUACUGGGCAGCUAUACAAGCAGUAUUUAAAUAGAAAAAAUAUUUUGGGUCGUGUACUGCCUUGAUUGUACAUUCCCCAAGAAUAUGAGGUAUAGGUCCUUGUUUUAAAAAAUAAAAUUAUAUCAAGACUUGUGUUUUAAAUAUCA